rnacentral:rRNA from 1 species
UACGGGGGGGGCAAGCGUUGUUCGGAAUUACUGGGCGGAAAGGGCUCGUAGGCGGCCAACUAAGUCAGACGUGAAAUCCCUCGGCUUAACCGGGGAACUGCAUCUGAUACUGGAUGGCUUGAGUUCGGGAGAGGGAUGCGGAAUUCCAGGUGUAGCGGUGAAAUGCGUAGAUAUCUGGAGGAACACCGGUGGCGAAGGCGGCUCUCUGGACCGUAACUGACGCUGAGGCGCGAUAGCGUGGGGAUCAAACAGG